AAGGAAGUCAAAUUUCAUUGUACCUAGUUUCAGGGUCCAAGCUGAGAUAAAUUUGAGAUUGUAACAAGGGAUAGAGAUCUUCCUGCGAAACCCAGGAAGCACCAGAAAGUACAGAAUGCUGACCUCUGCAACUGUUAGGACUUGGAUAUUUGAAGCAGAAGCUCGGUACCUUCUCUAGGGAAGAAAGUGCAUUUAAAGUGCUUCUGAGAGUGCAGAAGACUUGUCCCAGAAAAGCUGGAAGAAAAUCAGCUACAGACCCCGCUGGAAGGAGUGUGCGACAGGACUUGCAGUGUAGAGGGGAAAAAAUAACACUGACUUCAAAUGCC